GAGUCUCUGCAUCUCCAAGUCUCUAAGUCUCUGUGUUCCUGCAUCUCUAAGUCUCUGUGUGUCUGUGUCUGUGUGUCUCUGUGUCUUUGCAUCCCUGUGUCUCUAAAUCUGUGUCUCUGCAUCUCUGUGUCUCUAAGUCUCUGUGUCUCUGCAUCUCUAAGUCUCUGUGUCUCUGCGUCCCUGUGUCUCUGCAUCUCUGGGUCUCUGCGUCUCUGCCCCUACUUCAGAGGCCUGAGAGCCAUUCAGGGUCUUGCCUUGCCUCCCUGCCAAUUUUGUGCCUGCUCCCCUGGGGUCCCUUUCACCUCCUUCCUUGGGGCACCAGGGCUCCUCCUCCUGCCCUGGCCCUGCCGCGCGUCCCCCCCUCCAUGCUCACCCUGACCUCCCGUGGGGCGUCCUCAGCGCCCCCGCGGGCUGCUGGCCCUGCCCUCUCAGCCUGUAUCCUGUCUCUGUGGCCUCGCGACGGUGCAAGGUAUUUCUACUUUCUUUGCAAACCGUGUUGUCCUGGAGCAGGGGACAUGCUUGUCCCCAUGGGCGGAUUCCUGGGUCAUGCACCUCCAUUUCCCUGCCUCCUGGGAGACGCGCAGACUCUUGCUGGCCUGGUUCAAGAGCUGGGCUUCCUGGAUAGAGACCCCCUGAGGAGCAGGUAGAGGGGAAAGGCCGGGGGACAGAAGCCCCCUCCUGUCCCCAGGGUGGGGAGGGAGCGGGAAGUGGGCCCGCGGUGAGGUGACUGGCCCCGGGGCAGCAGCCCUCCGGGUCAUCAGCGAACCCUUCACUUUCUAACUUUAGAAGCCUCACGUGGAGUUAUGCCCUAACGGAAGGUCUGUCUCAGGUUUUCCCCGGAAAAAGAAGCUCCUGCUGAAUGUCUUGAAGCUACUCACAGACAGCGACCCUCACCGAGGCCCGGCCACUCAGCCCAGCCUGGCUCGCCGCUGUCUCUGCCCGUGUCCCCUGCGCCCCGGGUCUCCUGGGGCUCCCCAGGGCUGUGGUGGAAGGAGAUGCCCAUGGUCUGGAGGCACAGGUGUCCCGGGCUGUGGUGGGGCUCGGCCCAGGGGGCCUCCGAUACCCAAGGAGGAGGCGCCUCGGGGGGCCGGAGACCAGGCGCUCUGUGCAGACCCUGACCCUUCAUGGGCCACUGAGGAUCCUAACGUGGAGGUGCGGGGCCGAUCUGCACCCCCAUGAGGUCAUCCUUCCACCCACCCCGAGGCUCCCAAGGGGAGGAGGUGACGUCUUCCCUCCCAGGGUUCCCUGAAAGCCCCGGAGCGCGUCCUCUUCCCCUGCAAUGAAGGAGGCGUCUGCAGCUUACAUGUCUUCAAAAGCGAUAAAUCGCAUUUCCAACUCGUUCCCAUCACCCACCUUCACGCUGAUUUCCAAAGUCGCGCUGGGAAGGCGGGGGAGGGUGUCAGCCAAAUAUCUGCUGUCUUUGUACCCGGCUUGUGUUUCCUGUUUUCCUUCAAAACGAGAGGUCAGAGCCCCCGUGAGCGAACAGAUUGUCGACUUCCAAGUCUGCAAACACCCGGACGUCCCCCAUCACGGCCCUGUUCCACUCUCUUCGUUCUGCCCGGGCGCAGGAAGCCCGCUGUGUGCCAGAAACAGGAUUUCAGAUCAGAUUAUCUGAAGGGACUCGGCAGAGAUGCGGGGGCCUGUCCUCCGAGCCCUGAGCAAGGAGAGAUCUCCGGAGGACGGCUGCAGUCUCCCCGCGAGCCGCGGGGGCCCACACUGGAGACAGGGGUGCGGAUGGGCCCCGGGGACUGGAUGCCCCUUGCCCAGGCCACCCACUGCAGGCCCAGCUGAGCCUGUGCUGGCAGGAAGGAACUUUCAGGGAAUCUUGUGGGGAUGCAGAGAGGGUUUGUCCCCGAUUCCUGGAAAUGGCUCCCGAGUGGCAGCCACCUAUCCGCACAGAAGCCCCGACAGCAGGUGAGGAACUUGCCAGGACUCCUCAGAGGGGCUGACAGUUAGGAUUUCCAAGGCAGACUGGCUCAUACCAUGUGUCAACUUGGCUGGGCCACAGCGCUCAGACACAGUGGAACAUGAUUCUGCAGGUUUCUGUGAGGCCGCAUUUGGGUGUAAACAUUAACACAGGCGAACCCCAGUGAGGCCGGAGGCCUUCCAUAGCAUGGGUGGGCCUCAUCCAAUCAGUUGAAGGCCUAAUGGGAUUACUUUUACCACCAAGUAGGAUGUAAAAGCUAUGCAAAUAGUCCCUAUGUAUCAUUCAGAGAAAACGAUAAGAGAAAAACGUUUGCACAUGUUCGGUACGAAUAUAACUUUCCUUCCAGUAUUUUCAGUCUGAGGUUGGUUGAGCCCAGGGAUGGGGAGUCUGCAGAUAGGAAGGACUGGCUGUGUUUGGCUUAGUGAUCUCGAAACAGAGUAACAAUUGGAAGAAGAGUAAGCAGAUGAUCAUCACCAAUUAAGGACGGAGAUUCUGCCUGGGGAGGGGGUGCUCGUCGGAGCGGAGGAGAACGGUGUCAGACAGGCCGGUUACUUCUCCCGAUGUGCUUGUUGUUCCAGAGACUGUGCAGUGCCAGGUCAAGCAGCUGAAAUCGCUCUGAUUAUUUGCUGAGUCGGUUGAAUAGAACCUGGACCCAACAGUCCAUCAGAGGCCCGCUAAUGAAGCCGGGAUGCCAGCCGCCUUCCAAUGGCUGCCGAGGAAAGAGGCCCGGAGGACAACCUUUGCACACGGCACACUCAUCACACGCCCCCCCCCCAGCCCAAGCUGUGUUGCACGGGAGAGCGCAGAGGGCUCGCACACCACGCAUCCGGAGGUGUGCUAAGCAGGGUGGCCUGACCCUAAGCAGCACAGCCCUGGCAGCUGCCUGGGGCCCAGGGACAGAGGUCACUGCCUCCCGGGAUGAGGGUCCGUCCCACGAGGCAAUGUGGGAGCUCUGCGUGAGUCGCAGGGGCGGUCACUGUCGUUGGAAACCUAGAAGCAGAAGAGUCAGCAGCUCUUAAGGUCCUGACCCACGCCUUGACCCUGCAGACCCCCAGCCCCUCUCCAGAUCCCAGACCUGGGAGCCUCGCGGACCAGGGGUCUCUGAGCUGGGCACCCCCCCUUGAGGACGGAUCUGGGAAUGAGCUCACGAGGAAAUGACUCUGUGAACUUUCAUCCUAGAAGCAACCAGCAGCCUGUGGGCGUGUUGGCUGUGCACCGGGGAAGGGCGCGCUCAGACCUGCCGGGACGGGCCCUGCCCCAGCACCUCCGACUCCCGGACAGGAGGACCCUGGGGAUCGGGGCAGGCUACACCAGCUCCUGCUCUGGGGUGCCCAGGGAACCUGGAACCCCCCGGUCCCAAGUGCUUCUCUAAUUGGAAGGAGCACAUCAGACAGGGGCAGACCCUCAGGCCAGCCACAUGCUGACCCUGAAAUUGAGAGCGGCAGAGGUCAGACUGGGUCUCUCAGUUAGAGAAGCCCUCAGGUCCCCCACUGCUGUCCACCACGUCCCACAGGCCAUCCCGGGGCCUGGCUGGCUCCCCCAGACGUCCACGUCCCGGCACCAGAGACAACCUUGUUGGGAAUGACCCCUUUGGGACAGAAGAGCCUUCAGAUAGAAAAGGUCGUAAACAAAAUCUAUGGAACAGAAAAUUCUGGGGGGGACAAGCCCUGUUUGAAGGCACAUGAGUCCAAGCAGAGCAGCAGGGACGCGGGGGUCUGGGGCCAGGUCCCGCUCAGGAGGGAGGGCCACACCCAGAGGGAACGCGGGCAGGCCGUGCGCUGCGCAGAGCCUCUGCAGGACCCGGGGCAGCAGGCCCAGGAGGCCCUGGACUGACACAGGUGUCACAGCCAACAGGCUGGGGGCCACCCAGGACCCGGGAAAGGCUGGGGUUGGGGACUGAGCAGCCUGGAGGUGGCCGUCCUGCCGAGCCCCAGAAAGGGGGACGGAGGGGAGUGGGAGCAACAGAAAGAAAAGAGGAUGUGAACCUUCGCUUCCAGCCGCGCUUGUGCAGACGGCUCAGGCCACCCGCUCAGCUCCAGAGAGGACAGGAGCAGGUGGGGCCAGGUGAGGGCUGCUAUCCAGGCAGGCGCUGGGUCCCCACCAGGAGUCCAGGGAUCAGAGGACCAGGGAGAAAGCGAGGAAGGAGGCUGCCGUGGGGAGGUAACCGGAGCUCAGGACCCCCACGCAGAAAGCCCUGGGAAAAACGGCUGUCCAUGUCCUGUCCAUGUCCUGCGGGCUGCCUUUUAAAAAUGCCAGAACUAAGAGAAAAACAGACAAAGCAAGCCAACCCACAGUGACCCUCAGGUGCUGGGAGUUCAGACGUCGCCUCGUGGGAAACUGAUUAAUAUGUUCAGGAAAUUUAAGAGCAAGAUACGGAGUUUUGGCAGAGAACUGGAAACUGUAAAAAUUAAUCAGACAAACUCUAGAACUUAAAAAUAAACACCCACAAAUUAAGCACUUAAAAAUGACAGGAGCGCCGUGGAAAAGGGCCAAGGGCUCCAAACAAGCACUUGGCAGACAAGGACCUUCCGAUGGGCCAUUAGACACUCACCCUCAUCCAUCACCAAGGGAAGGAAACGAGGAUCCCUAGCGGAGACUGACCAGAGAGGGCAAGAUCAGGCCUCGGGGCUGAGCAGGGAGAAGCCACAGCCAAGCCUGGUGGGGGGAGAGGCCACAGCCACCGUGGAGCAGUGACGACAGCCCCCUGACCUUGGACAGGCACAAGCCCUGUGGCCACCGUGGGCCGGCAAACAGCUGCAGUGUGACUCACAGUGACCACAAGAGGAACCGCAGAGCGCGUGCACACGGGAGGUCAGACAACGCGGCUCUAUGCAGCCACGUGUGGACGACUGCUGGGGGCAGAGGGUGACCCUUCCCCAGGCGGAGCGCACAUGGCGGGUGGGGAGCAGCUCACCCCACGCUUUCCCUGUGAAGGCACAAGCAGGCCACCUGCCCAUGGCUUCAGAACUCAGGACAGCGGCUGCCCUGGGCAGGAGGAUGGCGGGCUGGGGCGCUGGAGGCCCUGGGAUGGAAACGGACAUGCUCAGUUGCCGGAGGUCCUCAAGCUGUGUCCUCGUGGGUGACGGUGCCGUGUGAACCAGCGUGAGACCAUUCGCUCAAAACAGCAGAGAUCUGCGUCUACAAAGGGACCUGCCAUCACCUCCAUCGUCGACCCUGUCCCCAGCUCUGCCACUUCUCGCCAGGCGUGGCCUCAUUUCUGCCUGCCCCAGGGCAGCUGGAGACAUCCUCCCCAAGCCUGGAUGGUGUCCCGCGCUGUCUGUCCCUUGAGGAUGUCACACACGUCCUCAGCGAUGGCACUGCCGCUCCUGCUGCCUGGGAUUCCUCGUCCUGGUUUUGCCUUGGUGGCAUCCCCGUCACAGAGCCCCGGCCUAGGUCUCCUUGGAGACCUGCCUUGUCCUGGGGGCCAGGCGCGUCCCUCGCCUGUUCCCUCUUCCCUGGUCUGCGGGGCCGUCCCUCUCCAUGCGCUCUUCUCCAUCGUGUGAGUGGAAUGACGAGGUGUGGAACGAGGGGCGAGUUGGGGAAGGCCCGCCUGUCUCUUGGGCAGCCCUCAUGUACGCGAGCGCACUCGUGUCCUGAGAAGUGCCACCGUGAAAACAGAGGCCUCUGCUUCCCGCCCCGUGGACACCAGAGGCCACGUUCACAUCACGUCCAGUAACACCCCCUCAGGCCACGGCACCCAGUGGGGUUGCAGCCAGGGGCACCCAGAGCUUCCUGGUGGUGGCCCCGGGCCGAGGGUCACACCCACCUCAUGCCCUUCUCACCGCAGGCCAGGAGGGCGGGCACCCUGGGCCCAGGUUAGCAGGGGGAGCCGAGGCUCACCAGUGCAGGCGGCGUCCGCGAGGUGGAGACAGCUGUGAAGGGGCGGCCUGUGGCCACCUGCCCUCACUCCAGGUCCAUGCUCAUGGAAGCGCCGAUACCGUGGACACCCCUCCCCAGGUCACCCCACGUGACCCUGAGGAGAGGACAGAAGUGGACUGUGGAGGCAGGCUGGCUGCCCAGCCUCCUGGAGAAGGCCAACCCCCGUCCUUCGACAAUUCUGUGUCCUGCCAUGUGCUCCACGUCACGGCAUGGGACCCACUUCCAAGCGGUUUCUUAGCCACAAAAUUGCCUCUCAUGGAACCGCUGGCCAGGCAGACGGAGCACGGCAAACGACAGUGAGCUCCCCGUCCACCCCAGGGGCCAUCUGUUAAGCGAGGACAUGGCCCAGGAGUCCACUUCUUGCCACUGAGCAGGAGCCAUUCCAGAACCUUCUCUGGCUCAGGUCUUAAUCCCUGCGUCACACCAGCACUUGUCCAGCCCGUGCUGCACCCCAGGGUCCGUCCAGAGCAGAGGUUUCUGGAAACCCCUACUGUCCUCCUCCAGGCACGCAGGAGAUGCCACGCUGGACACGGAUCCACCUGGGGGAGGCUACAUCUGCCCUGCCCCUCUUGGCCAUCCAUCCACCUGUGACCAUGAAGAAUCAGCUUCCUCUGGAGCUCCUGACCUGGACCCACUUAAGUCUGAAGAGAUGGACAGGAAUGUCCAGGGGCUUCAAGAGCCACAGUGAAAACCUCAGACAACAGCCUCAGGGCUCCCCACCUCCACGGGGGGGGAGGCCGGGGGCCAUCCCCCUGGGGCCAGAUGUCCAGCAGCUGUGGAGUGCUGGCAGUACCUGUCCUCCCCUCUGGACACCAGUAACGACCCCCAACCUAUGACAAGCAGAAGCCUCUAAAGACCUGCCACAUGUCUCCCGAG
rnacentral:lncRNA from 1 species